UAUUAAUUCGGUUUUAUUCUGAGAAUCGCGUUUGAAAAAAAACUAGACGAUCUCCUCGCCGAGAGUGGUCUCGGCUUGUCGCCGUUGCAGUGAGCAUUCCUCCGGGGAGGAGAUCGAGGUUUUUUUUUUUUUCUUUUUUUUUUUAUCGUCGAUCUCCCUCUCCCUGUCCAUUCCCAACUGCACCCCAAGUUGCCUUUGCGGUUAUGGAAGUAUCAAGCAGGUUCAUCGCCGACCUAACAACGUAAGGUCCCCAACUAUAUCCGAAAGGCGCAGAGCGGGAUGAUACCGUAACCCCAAGAGCAGAUCACUGCGGGGGCCGCGACGGAGCAGUCUCAGGAUCCGAUGGAAUCGGGCGGUGAAGCUUCCACGGAGGCUCCUCCGAAGCAGGUGGCUCUGGCCAUGGAGCGGCUGGCGUCCGCCGCUCGUAAAAUCGCUGAUAUCCGACUGGGGGCGGACCGCCUCCUCGAAGCGAUUUUCUUGGCGACAGAAGGUCCUCAGCAGUCGAUCAACAAGACCGUACAGCUCAUCCUCAGUGAGGAAACCUCCAUGCGCCAGCACUUCCAGGAUCUGAGCAGACUGGCAUUGGAUCUGCUGCCAUCAUACUUUAUUUUCAAAAGCAUGCAGUAAAUGUGGCCGUCUCUUAAUGAUAGACAAAUCAUUAGCUUUGCUUUUACCUCCUGUUCACCAUGCCUAUUGGGAAACCACUGUAACCAAUUCUAGCUGGACAGAAUUGGCUCAAAUUAUGGCUAACCAACCAGUUUCUGCUUAUCAUAUUGGGUGCUCAGCUGGUAAUGCCCGAGAAAAUUAACACUGUGCAACAAUUCAUCUUGUUGUGUUCCCAUUGUUGAUCCACUUUGUCACUUCUGAGAUCUGUCCUAAUAUAAUGCUAACUGGUCCUCAUGGGAUUUUCGCAACUUGGAUUGUGUCAUUUGAAGAUCAUCUAGCAAGGUCUCUGUUUUUGAAAUGAGUUGGCAACUUGCAGAUUUUAGUGUUUUUCCUCGUCAAGCUAACAAAAUGUGGUCCAACAACUAUCAACAGAUGUAACAUUAAAGCUUGAUGGACCUGCUCCUCUUGUUAGUAAUUGAAUUUCAUUAUUCUAAUUAAUGAACAAUUUCAGUCAUAGAAUAAUUUCAUUAUAACAAAGGACCCUUCCAUUGACUGUAUAAUCCCUGUCACUGUUUCUGUUUUGAGCAUAAACUUAUCAAAUGUAGCCAAAUCCUUGUGAAGCAUAAUGCAGGAGUCAUCUUUUAGGUUUAUUGAAGGUACUUGAAAUGGAACCACUCAAGAGGAGGAAGGGGACAAUAUUGAUUGCUGAAUUGACUUAUGAUUCUUGUUUUCGCUAAACUACUUUUUGAUUAAUUGUUUAUUGAGAUGACAUCACCAAAGUCACUUUCUUCUUUCUUUGGCAAUAAUUAACAGUUGUUGCAAUUUGAAAUUUAGUUUGUAACGAAAGAGAUGCACACUUAAUUGAAUAGUUUAGAACCAU